GGAUCACAGCCGGGCGGCUCGCGACGCCGUCACGGAAAAUAACAGGUAAGCAUUCACUUUUUUAUUCCUAUUUAAAGCACUUUUGAACGUUAUUUUGUGUUUUGUCAAUUUUAUCUGAAGAUUAACCAGCUCAGUUAUCAUUGUAAUGUUAGCUAGCAAAGAAGCAAGGACAACCACAUCAAAGUUAUCAACGGCAAGUGUUAAAUAUGCAGUGUUAUACACAACAGUUUGUCAGUGAUAAAUUAAGGUGUGUGUGUGUGUGUGUGUGUGUGUGUGUGUGUGUGUGUGUGUGUGUGUGUGUGUGGUUUCUCACAGCUGGACACAGACAAACGAGUCCCGCGAAUUGUAUUUUUAAACUGGAGAGACAGCUGACAGGAUGUCGUCAUCUGUAACCGUCACUCGCCACAGUUCUCAAGUAAGAGCAAAGGCAGCGAGGGGUGGUGUGAUGUCAUUUGCAACAAGACGGCUGAUACUAAUAUGAGCCUAAAAUAAAGGACAAUAAUGGCAUCAGCCAUUCAAGUUAUGAUCCUGGCAGAUCUACUACUAUCUGAAAAGUAGUCUCUGCAGAUUGUUUCAAGAUACACAAGAUGGAGCGUGGAGA